ACGUUUUAUUUUGUGUCGUGCAUCUGUGAAUUAACGUCAUUCAAAUCUGGUUAGUAUAAAAGCAAAUCAACUUAAUUUUUGUUGAACAAGUAUUAGGACAUAUUUAUUUUUUAUUCAGUAUUCUAGAAUUUCCCAGUAAUAUGAGUCCAUUGUACCACAUAUAAUUAAUACAUGUAUUCUGUAGAGACGUUUGACAAUACUGUACAUUUAUAUUAUGUUGUCUAGGUUUUCAAAAUCAGAAACGAAGCAAGAAGAACUUUUCUGAGGCUUAAGUGUUGAAGUUCAGUUGUGAUUGUCAUGCCCUAGGAUAAGCUAAUGGAUUGAUGGAGAAGAACGUCUGGAUUCAGAUACAGAAAGUAACAUGGUAGACAUGUACAUAUUUAAAGCAAGUGGAAACCUUUAAAAGAACGAACAACUAAACUAAGAAUUAUGUGCACAUCAUAGGAUAUUGACGUCAAUGGAAACAAAAUGUUUGUACUAGUUGAUCGCAGGAAUAUUGAUGAAAAAGUUAAAAGGUAUGGAUAUAACGAUAGAUGAUUCUAAAUUAGAUUAUUACAACUUGUUACUACAUGUACGUUAAUAUCAUGAAACCCUAAUUCAUAAUGAUAUUGUAUAAACAUUUGAUGAGA